GUAGGGCGGGACACGUGGUAUCCUGUCUGAAUAUGGGGGGACCAUCCUCCAAGGCUAAAUACUCCUGACUGACCGAUAGUGAACCAGUACCGUGAGGGAAAGGCGAAAAGAACCCCGGCGAGGGGAGUGAAAAAGAACCUGAAACCGUGUACGUACAAGCAGUGGGAGCCCCACCACUAAGCCAGUGGUGAACUCCACAUACGCAUCCUUUGCUGAGGAUACGGUUAACGGAGCGAAAGCGACGUUCAACCUCAAAAGAAGCAGAGGGGGCUUAGUGGUGGGGUGACUGCGUACCUUUUGUAUAAUGGGUCAGCGACUUAUAUUCUGUAGCAAGGUUAACCGAAUAGGGGAGCCGGAGGGAAACCGAGUCUUAACCGGGCGUUAAGUUGCAGGGUAUAGACCCGAAACCCGGUGAUCUAGCCAUGGGCAGGUUGAAGGUUGGGUAACACUAACUGGAGGACCGAACCGACUAAUGUUGAAAAAUUAGCGGAUGACCUGUGGCUGGGGGUGAAAGGCCAAUCAAACCGGGAGAUAGCUGGUUCUCCCCGAAAGCUAUUUAGGUAGCGCCUCGUGAAUUCAUCUCCGGGGGUAGAGCACUGUUUCGGCUAGGGGGUCAUCCCGACUUACCAACCCGAUGCAAACUGCGAAUACCGGAGAAUGUUAUCACGGGAGACACACGGCGGGUGCUAACGUCCGUCGUGAAGAGGGAAACAACCCAGACCGCCAGCUAAGGUCCCAAAGUCAUGGUUAAGUGGGAAACGAUGUGGGAAGGCCCAGACAGCCAGGAUGUUGGCUUAGAAGCAGCCAUCAUUUAAAGAAAGCGUAAUAGCUCACUGGUCGAGUCGGCCUGCGCGGAAGAUGUAACGGGGCUAAACCAUGCACCGAAGCUGCGGCAGCGACACUAUGUGUUGUUGGGUAGGGGAGCGUUCUGUAAGCCUGCGAAGGUGUCUCGUGAGGGAUGCUGGAGGUAUCAGAAGUGCGAAUGCUGACAUAAGUAACGAUAAUGCGGGUGAAAAACCCGCACGCCGGAAGACCAAGGGUUCCUGUCCAACGUUAAUCGGGGCAGGGUGAGUCGACCCCUAAGGCGAGGCCGAAAGGCGUAGUCGAUGGGAAACAGGUUAAUAUUCCUGUACUUGGUGUUACUGCGAAGGGGGGACGGAGAAGGCUAUGUUGGCCGGGCGACGGUUGUCCCGGUUUAAGCGUGUAGGUGUGUGUUCCAGGUAAAUCCGGUUCACUUUAACACUGAGGCGUGAUGACGAGGCACUACGGUGCUGAAGCAACAAAUGCCCUGCUUCCAGGAAAAGCCUCUAAGCAUCAGGUAACAUCAAAUCGUACCCCAAACCGACACAGGUGGUCAGGUAGAGAAUACCAAGGCGCUUGAGAGAACUCGGGUGAAGGAACUAGGCAAAAUGGUGCCGUAACUUCGGGAGAAGGCACGCUGAUAUGUAGGUGAAGUGGUUUACCCAUGGAGCUGAAAUCAGUCGAAGAUACCAGCUGGCUGCAACUGUUUAUUAAAAACACAGCACUGUGCAAACACGAAAGUGGACGUAUACGGUGUGACGCCUGCCCGGUGCCGGAAGGUUAAUUGAUGGGGUUAUCCGUAAGGAGAAGCUCUUGAUCGAAGCCCCGGUAAACGGCGGCCGUAACUAUAACGGUCCUAAGGUAGCGAAAUUCCUUGUCGGGUAAGUUCCGACCUGCACGAAUGGCGUAAUGAUGGCCAGGCUGUCUCCACCCGAGACUCAGUGAAAUUGAACUCGCUGUGAAGAUGCAGUGUACCCGCGGCAAGACGGAAAGACCCCGUGAACCUUUACUAUAGCUUGACACUGAACACUGGUCCUUGAUGUGCAGGAUAGGUGGGAGGCUUUGAAGCGCGGACGCCAGUUCGUGUGGAGCCAUCCUUGAAAUACCACCCUUUAAUGGCUGGUGUUCUAACGUAGACCCGUGAUCCGGGUUGCGGACAGUGUCUGGUGGGUAGUUUGACUGGGGCGGUCUCCUCCUAAAGAGUAACGGAGGAGCACGAAGGUUAGCUAAUCCUGGUCGGACAUCAGGAGGUUAGUGCAAAGGCAUAAGCUAGCUUGACUGCGAGCGUGACGGCGCGAGCAGGUGCGAAAGCAGGUC
rnacentral:rRNA from 1 species